rnacentral:rRNA from 1 species
UACGUAGGGGGCACGCGUUGUCCGGAAUUAUUGGGCGUAAAGCGCGCGCAGGCGGUCAUUUAAGUUUGGUGUUUAAGCCCGGGGCUCAACCCCGGAUCGCACUGAAAACUGGGUGACUUGAGUGCGGGAGAGGAAAGUGGAAUUCCACGUGUAGCGGUGAAAUGCGUAGAGAUGUGGAGGAACACCAGUGGCGAAGGCGGCGCCCUGGUCCGUUACUGACGCUGAGACGCGAAAGCGCGGGGAGCGAACGGG